UCUUUGUUUGUAAUCUUUCUUUUUCUGUAGUGUUUGUUGAAUCACAGUUGUAGAAUUAAAUCGAUCAAACAACAUGUAGAACAAGAAUUAAAAAUGCUAAAAUUUUCUACGGAACAGGGUGGGAUUUUUCGGAUUUGGGUUUGUGGUUUUGUUUUGAUUUUGAUUGGUAUGAACAAAAUCGGGAAGGUUGGAAGAGAUCAAACCAUCGAGUUUGGACUCUACCGGAUCUCUGGGCAAGUAAACCGGCAAGUCUGUAAGGUUAUCGGAGGAAUUAAUAAGUGAAACUACAUGUUCCAAUUCUGGUUUGGAUUCAUUCUCUACACGUAGAAGACUGUGAUAAAUGCCGACUAGUUUAUAUACGAACAUACAGCCGGCGGUGAUACUAAC
rnacentral:lncRNA from 1 species